AAUGACGGUAAAACCCCUCCGAGCCUGAAAACAUCCCUUGUCCUGUGUUCGCUUAGCGUGGAUAUGCUCUCAGCCCUCUCAUCUUUUUAUCUGAUUCAGACACCGUGUUACGUCGGAGAAGAGAUGAUGUGUUCUGCGACUUGGUGCUUCUGUUCCUGGCGCUGUAAACCCUAUCAAACAUCGGGUCCAUUGAUAUAAGACUAUUUUUGGAGGAUAAUAGGAAAUUGAGAAGGUUGGUGAUACAUCAGUGAGUAUAUGGUCUGAGCCAACGGUUAAGCGGAAGACAAAGAUUGUGUGUACAAUUGGUCCUUCAACAGAUACACGUGAAAUGAUCUGGGAAGUUGGCUGAGGUGUUACGAGGAUGAAUAUGUCUCAUGGGGAUAACGCAACUCAUCAGAAAGUUCUUGAUUUAGUUAAAGAGUAUAAUAACGAGCAUAAAGAUAAUGUCAUUGCAAUCAUGCUUGAUACCAUGGCAGGUUUUAUUCAUUUCCUAAAAUAUGUAUAGACAGGUUCUGUUUGUCAAAGAAAAUUGGAUAAUUAAAUACACUCACGCACCGGUCUUGUCUUUGGCAAGGCCCCGGAGGUUAGGACUUAGGAGUGGGGACUUGCCUCAACCGGUAAUUUUAGUGCUCGGACAAGAACUCACACUUACAAUUAGAAGAGGGGUCGGGACUACUAAUUGUGAGAGUGUUAUUUAUGAUGAUUUUGUUAAUGAUGUUGAUUCCGGAGAUAUGCUCCUCGUUGAUGUCAGUCAGCUUUCUAUGUAAAGCAUAACCAUGAAUGCCACUUGGAUCAUGGGAUUUGAACCCGGUAAAUGGGAAUGGGAAUAAGAAAUUCACUGAAGCAAUUGGAAUGAGAUUUGUCAGUAAAGGCUGCAAACUCGUUCGAUGUGGUUCUGUAGUACCAAGUUUAAAGGUGUCCAAGGAUGACCUUACAAAACUUGUAGAAACUAUUGAUGAAUGGAUCUGUCCUCGCACUGGAAUACGAAAUCGACAGGUUAUUUUAGGUUAAGGAUCCUAUCCUUCAGUACACUAAGCGCCAGAGAGACUCGCCUACUGCAUAUAUAACUUGAAUUUGCUUUCUUCCUUUAUUUGUUGAACCUGGUGAUUCGUAAGUGGAUAUGUAAUAUAUCUGAUUAUUAUGCUUAUUAUGUUAAAAGUUCAGACUUCUGAUAACACUUUCCAAAUCUUUUUUGGAGUCCAAGUACGACGAUAAAUGGCAACUGAAGGAGACCUGGUUUGUUCAUCUACGUCCAUAUCUUUUAUGUUACUACCUUUCUAUAUUUGUUUCUAAGAUUCAUUAUGAAUUUUGAUAGUAACAGCAGCAAGUGAUUCAUUGAAUUAGAAGGCAGUAGCAGCAGUACUAUUAGCUCUUAGUUCAGAUUUCCACAGGCCAACAUACUUAUAUAUUAGGUGCUGAGUCGUUGCUGAAAACGACCACCAGUAAGAAUCUGAAUGCGGUCACAAUAUAUUGAUAAACCGAACCAGUAUGCAGCAACAAAAAACCAGCUUUGAGAUUAGGGUACGAUUCCAUCUGACCAAGUUAAAUAAAUUUUCGGGCUGUGAAGUUUAAACUAAUCUGUUCAGAGUUUGACAUGAUGAACCUUUAGCUAGAAUCUCAGUGGCUUCGAAUUUGUAAGUGUUUUGCAUCAACAUUGCCACGAGCAUUCAGCAAAAACCGAAACUACAUUGUCUGGCCAGUUCCUGUAAAUUGAUUUUAUAAAUCAGUGAUAUUACUGAUCUGAGGUCACAUGUUACCAAGUUUCCAGCAUGAAGAGGCAAAGCCACCUACUUCUAGGUGGUACCAUUUUUCUGACAUGUAGUGUCAAAAUUACUUUGCGGUCAAGCCCUUGCAAUUUCAAAUUAUGUUCAAGGAUAGUAAUAUGUAUUUUCUUUUUAUAAUUUAUCGAUUGCAGAAAUUUAAAUAUUCA